UACGUAGGGGGCUAGCGUUGUCCGGAUUUAUUGGGCGUAAAGAGCAUGUAGGCGGCCUGGUAGGUCUGCUGUGAAAACUCGAGGCUCAACCUCGAGAUGUCGGCGGAAACCAUCUGGCUAGAGUCCGGAAGAGGAGAGUGGAAUUCCUGGUGUAGCGGUGAAAUGCGCAGAUAUCAGGAAGAACACCUAUGGCGAAGGCAGCUCUCUGGGACGGUACUGACGCUGAGACGCGAAAGCGUGGGGAGCGAACAGG
rnacentral:rRNA from 1 species